rnacentral:rRNA from 1 species
UACGGAAGAUCCGAGCGUUAUCCGGAAUUACUGGGCGUAAAGAGUUGCGUAGGUGGCAUAGUAAGCGAGCAGUGAAAGACUCCGGCUCAACCGGGGGUACAUUGUUCGAACUACUAAGCUUGAGCAUGAGAGAGGUAGAUGGAAUUUCUAGUGUAGGAGUGAAAUCCGUAGAUAUUAGAAGGAACACCGAUGGCGUAGGCAGUCUACUGGCUCAUUGCUGACACUAAGGCACGAAAGCGUGGGGAGCGAACGGG